rnacentral:rRNA from 1 species
AACGUAACAAGGUCUCCGUUGGUGAACCAGCGGAGGGAUCAUUGCUGGAACGCGCCCCAGGCGCACCCAGAAACCCUUUGUGAACUUAUACCUUACUGUUGCCUCGGCGCAUGCCGGCCCCCCUGGGGGCCCCUCCUUCGGGAGGAGCAGGCACGCCGGCGGCCAACCUAACUCUUGUUUUUACACUGAAACUCUGAGAAUAAAACAUAAAUGAAUCAAAACUUUCAACAACGGAUCUCUUGGUUCUGGCAUCGAUGAAGAACGCAGCGAAAUGCGAUAAGUAAUGUGAAUUGCAGAAUUCAGUGAAUCAUCGAAUCUUUGAACGCACAUUGCGCCCUCUGGUAUUCCGGAGGGCAUGCCUGUUCGAGCGUCAUUUCAACCCUCAAGCCUGGCUUGGUGAUGGGGCACUGCUUUUACCCAAAAGCAGGCCCUGAAAUUCAGUGGCGAGCUCGCCAGGACCCCGAGCGCAGUAGUUAAACCCUCGCUUUGGAAGGCCCUGGCGGUGCCCUGCCGUUAAACCCCCAACUUCUGAAAAUUUGACCUCGGAUCAGGUAGGAAUACCCGCUGAACUUAAGCAUAUCAAUAAGCGGAGGAAAAGAAACCAACAGGGAUUGCCCUAGUAACGGCGAGUGAAGCGGCAACAGCUCAAAUUUGAAAUCUGGCUUCGGCCCGAGUUGUAAUUUGCAGAGGAUGCUUCUGGCGCGGUGCCUUCCGAGUUCCCUGGAACGGGACGCCACAGAGGGUGAGAGCCCCGUAUGGUCGGACACCAAGCC